GACGAACGCUGGCGGCGUGCUUAACACAUGCAAGUCGAACGAAGUGGCGAACGGGUGCGUAACGCGUAAUCAACCUGCACUUCAGAGGGGGACAACAGUUGGAAACGACUACUAAUACCGCAUACUGAAGGCGGGGAUUGCGUUUGAUUAGUUAGUGGGGGGGGUAACGGCCAACCAAGGCGAUGAUCAGUAGCCGGUCUUGGAGGAUGAACGGCCACAUUGGGACUGAGACACGGCCCAGACUCCUACGGGAGGCAGCAGUGGGGAAUCUUCCGCAAUGGACGAAAGUCUGACGGAGCAACGCCGCGUGAGUGAUGACGGCCUUCGGGUUGUAAAGCUCUGUUAAUCGGGACGCGGUACCGGAAUAGAAAGCCACGGCUAACUACGUGCCAGCAGCCGCGGUAAUUC
rnacentral:rRNA from 1 species